UCAGUUAAUAAUCAUUACACACUCUCCCCAACAGGUGAUUCACUUGAUAAGUGCACUGGAUAACGGACAACAGCAUUGACUCCCGAAGAUAAACUGUUAUCAGAGGCUUAAUGCUCUUCCUUGGUAAAAAGACAGAGUUUAUCAAGGACUACCAGGUUUGAGUACGAUUCCAUAACUAUUCAAGAGCACCUCAGUUCACUUGUUCCCAACAUGUUUGUGGACAACCAAUCCAGAGAUGAAGGUCACAAGAAAGCUGAAAUAGCCAUAGAGAGAGCAAACAUACUUUUUGGAGCAGAUUCUUGCACCUACUGUACCUCAUUGGCCGCAUUUAUGCACUGGAAGCUGUCCAAAGAAACUCAAAUAUAACUUUGAGGUCUUUCAUAAGGGCUUCUUCAAGCUUGAUGACAAACAGUAACAUGUUCCCCAACGUCCAAGAUCUAAAGGUCAGCUUAUUGACCAAAAAGCCAAACAGGCAU